rnacentral:misc_RNA from 1 species
AAAGUCGUAACAAGGUUUCCGUAGGUGAACCUGCGGAAGGAUCAUUAACGAGCGUUGCCUCCGGGCAUACCUCCCACCCUCUGUAUACCUUACUGUUGCUUUGGCAGGCCCGUCCUUGGACCGCCGGCUUCGGCUGGCCCGCGCCUGCCAGAGGACCCCCAACUCUGUUUUAACAUGUCGUCUGAGUAAAAAUUAAUUGUCAAAACUUUCAACAACGGAUCUCUUGGUUCUG